rnacentral:misc_RNA from 1 species
UGAAACAUACAUUCUAGAUUUCUUAGAACAAAAUGGGUCAUCCAGAUUUUUCAUGGUUACCUAAAAUACAAGACACGCUCAUUUUUUUUGGGUUACGUGAUACUUGUUAUUCGUGACAUUCCGAGAAAUAUGUGGCGAGUUGUAAUUUUGCAAAAACGAACGAAAAUUCGUCUCUGCGAAAUAAAUAAAUUGAA